CGCCCCGCCCCCAUACGGGAGGCAGCAGUGGGGAAUUUUCCGCAAUGGGCGAAAGCCUGAAGGAGCAACGCCGCGUGAGGGAUGAAGGCCUCUGGGCUGUAAACCUCUUUUAUCAAGGAAGAAGAUCUGACGGUACUUGAUGAAUAAGCCACGGCUAAUUCCGUGCCAGCAGCCGCGGUAAUACGGGAGUGGCAAGCGUUAUCCGGAAUUAUUGGGCGUAAAGCGUCCGCGGGCGGUCUUGUAAGUCUGUCGUUAAAGCUCGGAGCUUAACUCCAUGUAAGCGAUGGAAACUGCAAGACUAGAGUGUGGUAGGGGCAGGGGGAAUUCCCGGUGUAGCGCUGAAAUGCGUAGAUAUCGGGAGGAACACCAGUGGGGAGGGCGCUGUCCUGGGCCAUAACUGACGCUCAUGGACGAAAGCCCGGGG
rnacentral:rRNA from 1 species